rnacentral:tRNA from 1 species
CGCGGGGUGGAGCAGCUCGGCAGCUCGACGGGCUCAUAACCCGUAGGUCGUAGGUUCAAAUCCUGCCCCCGCUACCA